GGGAAGUAUGAAUGUGAGUGGAGUUUGAAAGGGCCACUUUCUGCAGACGCUUUUUGCAGGCAAAGCCAAGUUCCUUCCCUCUGCUCUGAAAAUAAUCCAGCGUGGAAAUUACCUGCCAUCAGAUGAUAGAAAAGGAAUGAUCAGUUUGAGUGUUAUGAGCUGGAGAACAGAAUGUUUCAAUGGGGAAAUUUACUGCUUUUAAAUUUUGCCCAGCCCUCUUCCAGUAAAAAAAAAAAAAAAAAGAAAAAGAAAAGAAAAGAAAAAGACAUUGACAUAUUUCUCUGGAUCUACACUGCAAACUAAGCAUGCUGAGUGUCUCCAUUAUUCCAGUAUUUUCAGAGGCAUGUUUAAACCAGUGCAAAUUAUUCACCAGCUGCUCUGUCAAUAGCAAUAGCAACCACCCAGCAACAUGUAAGGGAGACCGAGGCAAGUUGUCAGACUUAUUACUUCUGACUAUUUCUCAAGAUAGGAUUAUUUUUUUUUUAGUUAAUUUGUGAUAAGGCACAAACAUAAAAUAAAGAUAAAAUAUUUUGUUAUUUUGACACAUAUUGGAUGUUUGUAGGAUUGGUUGUCACAUUGGAAUCUGCCAUUAAAGGUUCUGUAUGUGUUUUACUGUACUAAAGUAUACAAAUACCGUACACUCACUUUUUUAACCCAAAUGCUGGGAUAAGCCUUUUGGGUCAUUUUUUGGGGUUAUUGUUUCAGUCUUUGGGUAGUUUUUGUGUUACCCAGCUCCUGGGUCAAAUGUAACAACCCACUGUUUGGGUUGUUUUGCAGCUCCUGGGUCAAAUGUAACAACCCAAUGUUUGGGUAGUUUUUGUAUUACUCAGAUCUUGGGUCAGAGGUAACCGAGCAGUUAAGUUCUUUAUCGCGGGGAUUUUGCGUUCUCUUCUAGAGAAAGCAGUUUUAAGCGCCAUCGAAUUGAUGCAUUCAUCGGCAAAAUACAGGUUAUAAAGGCAGUCUCAGUAUAUUUCGGCUAUGACUGAAACGCAGGACGGCGAUCUCAGCCGUGAGCAGGUCCCCGCUGAACACGACUCCAGCUUGGGCACGAGAACCAGCGCGGCGCAGCACAGUUACGGUGGAAACAGAAUCACAGGGACUGGUUAAUAACACGUACAUUACUUCUGUUUUAACGUUUAAUUUUUACUUUUUAAUGUUUGUUAAACGAGGUUAAAUAUGGGCAAUAUGUAUAGCCUAUUAAAAAACUAUGUAAAAAAUGCUGUAAAUGAUAAAUAAAGGAAAAUAAAGGAAGUUAUCAUGCAAACCAGUGGUUGUGUGGAGUAUUUUAGAGAAGUUUAGAGGAUUUAAGUUAAUCUGUAA
ensembl:lncRNA